GACGAACGCUGGCGGCGUGCUUAACACAUGCAAGUCGAACGGAAAGGCCCUGCUUUUGUGGGGUGCUCGAGUGGCGAACGGGUGAGUAACACGUGAGUAACCUGCCCUUGACUUUGGGAUAACUUCAGGAAACUGGGGCUAAUACCGGAUAGGAGCUCCUGCUGCAUGGUGGGGGUUGGAAAGUUUCGGCGGUUGGGGAUGGACUCGCGGCUUAUCAGCUUGUUGGUGGGGGAGUGGCUUACCAAGGCUUUGACGGGUAGCCGGCCUGAGAGGGUGACCGGCCACAUUGGGACUGAGAGACGGCCCAGACGCCUACGGGAGGCAGCAGCGGGGAAUAUUGCACAAUGGGCGGAAGCCUGAUGCAGCAACGCCGCGUGCGGGAUGACGGCCUUCGGGUUGUAAAACGCUUUCGCCUGUGACGAAGCGUUAGUGACGGUAAUGGGUAAAGAAGCACCGGCUAACUACGUG
rnacentral:rRNA from 1 species